AAGAUUUUAAGUUAAAAAAACUAGUAGCCUUCAAAGUUAAAAAUACUUUAGGGUAAAUCUUA
rnacentral:tRNA from 1 species